rnacentral:rRNA from 1 species
GAUGAACGCUGGCGGCGUGCCUAAUACAUGCAAGUCGAGCGAACAGACGAGGAGCUUGCUCCUCUGACGUUAGCGGCGGACGGGUGAGUAACACGUGGAUAACCUACCUAUAAGACUGGGAUAACUUCGGGAAACCGGAGCUAAUACCGGAUAAUAUAUUGAACCGCAUGGUUCAAUAGUGAAAGACGGUUUUGCUGUCACUUAUAGAUGGAUCCGCGCCGCAUUAGCUAGUUGGUAAGGUAACGGGUUACCAAGGCAACGAUGCGUAGCCGACCUGAGAGGGUGAUCGGCCACACGGGAACUGAGACACGGUCCAUACUCCUACGGGAGGCAGCAGUAGGGAAUCUUCCGCAAUGGUCGAAAGCUUGACGGAGCAACGCCGCGUGAGUGAUGAAGGUCUUCGGAUCGUAAAACUCUGUUAUUAGGGAAGAACAAAUGUGUAAGUAACUAUGCACGUCUUGACGGUACCUAAUCAGAAAGCCACGGCUAACUACGUG